UACGAAGGGGGCUAGCGUUGCUCGGAAUCACUGGGCGUAAAGCGCACGUAGGCGGAUCGUUAAGUCAGGGGUGAAAUCCUGGAGCUCAACUCCAGAACUGCCUUUGAUACUGGCGAUCUUGAGUUCGGGAGAGGUGAGUGGAACUGCGAGUGUAGAGGUGAAAUUCGUAGAUAUUCGCAAGAACACCAGUGGCGAAGGCGGCUCACUGGCCUGAUACUGACGCUGAGGUGCGAAAGCGUGGGGAGCAAACAGG
rnacentral:rRNA from 1 species